rnacentral:rRNA from 1 species
AGUGUAGGUGGUUUGGUAAGUCAGAGGUGAAAUCCCUCAGCUCAACUGAGGAACUGCCUUUGAUACUGCCAGACUUGAGGACAGGAGAGGAAAGUGGAAUUCCCGGUGUAGCGGUGGAAUGCGUAGAUAUCGGGAGGAACACCAGAGGCGAAGGCGGCUUUCUGGACUGAUCCUGACGCUGAGACUCGAAAGCUAGGGGAGCAAACA